rnacentral:tRNA from 1 species
UAUUUCCAGGAAUGAUCCGCCUCGACAUCUUCAGUGUUGUGCUCUUGCUAAGCUAUGGAAAU